rnacentral:ncRNA from 2 species
UGACACUGUGCAUGUGAAGGGGCAUCAUUCGCCGUCUGCUAUCGAUCGGAAGCCGGUGAGAACCCGGCACGGUCGCGCCACUGUAACCAGUCCUGCUGCAUCAAGCUUGGAUCGGAAGUCAGACCCCUUCGGAAGCAGUCAUAU